rnacentral:rRNA from 1 species
GACGAACGCUGGCGGCGUGCCUAACACAUGCAAGUCGAACGGAACUGUUUUGAAAGAUUUCUUCGGAAUGAAUUUGAUUUAGUUUAGUGGCGGACGGGUGAGUAACGCGUGAGUAACCUGCCUUCAAGAGGGGGAUAACAUUCUGAAAAGAAUGCUAAUACCGCAUGACAUAUCGGAACCACAUGGUUUUGAUAUCAAAGAUUUUAUCGCUUGGAGAUGGACUCGCGUCCGAUUAGUUAGUUGGUGAGGUAACGGCUCACCAAGACCGCGAUCGGUAGCCGGACUGAGAGGUUGAACGGCCACAUUGGGACUGAGACACGGCCCAGACUCCUACGGGAGGCAGCAGUGGGGGAUAUUGCGCAAUGGGGGCAACCCUGACGCAGCAACGCCGCGUGAAGGAUGAAGGUUUUCGGAUUGUAAACUUCUUUUAUUAAGGACGAAAAAUGACGGU